CCCUUCGUAGCUUAGUGGUAGAGCAAUGGUGCAUAAGUCAAGAACUGGGUUCGAUUCCCGGCGAGGGCU
rnacentral:tRNA from 1 species